GAUGAACGCUGGCGGCGUGCUUAAUACAUGCAAGUCGAACGAAGCACCUUGGACAGAAUCCUUCGGGAGGAAGACCAUUGUGACUGAGUGGCGGACGGGUGAGUAACGCGUGGGUAACCUGCCUUGUACAGGGGGAUAACAGUUGGAAACGACUGCUAAUACCGCAUAAGCGCACAGUACCGCAUGGUACGGUGUGAAAAACUCCGGUGGUACAAGAUGGACCCGCGUCUGAUUAGCUGGUUGGUGAGGUAACGGCCCACCAAGGCGACGAUCAGUAGCCGACUUGAGAGAGUGAUCGGCCACAUUGGGACUGAGACACGGCCCAAACUCCUACGGGAGGCAGCAGUAGGGAAUAUUGCACAAUGGGGGAAACCCUGAUGCAGCGACGCCGCGUGAAGGAAGAAGUAUUUCGGUAUGUAAACUUCUAUCAGCAAGGAAGAAAAUGACGGUACUUGACUAAGAAGCCCCGGCUA
rnacentral:rRNA from 1 species